rnacentral:rRNA from 1 species
UACGUAGGGGGCAAGCGUUGUCCGGAUUUAUUGGGCGUAAAGAGCGUGUAGGCGGCCAAGCAGGUCCGCUGUGAAACUCGAGGCUCAACCUCGAGACGUCGGUGGAAACCGUUUGGCUAGAGUCCGGAAGAGGAGAGUGGAAUUCCCGGUGUAGAGGUGAAAUUCGUAGAUAUUGGGAAGAACACCGGUGGCGAAGGCGGCUCACUGGCUCAUUUCUGACGCUCAGGCGCGACAGCGUGGGGAUCAAACAGG